UAUCCCCAGAAUGAGGGAGCACAUUGGUAUGAACACCAAACUAAUCAUGUUUCUUUUUGACUUUCAGAUCAAGGGUUGCCACUUAUCCCUUAGGUGAACUCUUUUACUAUACAAAAGCUCAUGCAAGUACCAGCAAAAGGAAAAUAUUGCAAUUCCCUUUUCUCUGUGUGGAAUUUAUAUGGAAAGAAGUUGUGGAGACAGGAAGAGUUUUUAGAAGGGACAGAACCACUUGAACAUAUAUUCCUUUACCUAAAUUAUGGUUGGGAACUCCUGGCAGCUGUUUGGAGUUUGCGGCUUGCAGGAAAUGGGAUCAAAGUGCAGUUCAGACUUCAUCUACACAGUGCCAAAGAAACAGAGACUUAACCUGAAUAGUGACAAAAAGAGCACACAUGUAAAAAAGAAAGAAACCAAUCCAGGGGCCGAGAUAACAUCUUCCUGGGAAAUUUUGGAUGAAGCAUUUUACCUCAAUAGGACAUUUUACUACUUAAUGGACCAAACCAACUUCCCAGUUUGGAAAGCCUCAACCAACUGAAUUUCUCUUCCCUA
rnacentral:lncRNA from 1 species